ensembl:snoRNA SNORD1C small nucleolar RNA, C/D box 1C
CAGUACUUAUGAUGAGUUUGUUAUCCCUGUCUGAAAAAACUAAAUGUUGAAACCAAUGGUAUCUGACCUGCUG